ACGAACGCUGGCGGCGUGCUUAACACCUGCAAGUCGAACGGGCCCGCCCCUGUUUUUGGGGGUGGGUUGAGUGGCGAACGGGUGAGUAUCACGUGAGUAACCUGCCCCCUGCUCCUGGAUAACUGCUUGAAAGGGCGGCUAAUACGGGGUGUGCCGGCUGGUCCGCAUGGGCCUGGUCGGGAUAGUUUCAUCUUCGGGUGUUUCGGUGGGGGAUGGGCUCGCGGCCUAUCAGCUUGUUGGUGGGGUGAUGGCCCACCAAGGCGGUGACGGGUAGCCGGCCUGAGAGGGUGGGCGGCCACACUGGGACUGAGACACGGCCCAGACUCCUGCGGGAGGCAGCAGUGGGGGGUAUUGCACAAUGGGCGGAAGCCUGAUGCAGCGACGUCGCGUGAGGGAUGGAGGCCUUCGGGUUGUGAACCUCUUUCUCCGGUGGUGAAGGCCCUGUCCGUUGCGGCGGGGUUGACGGUAGCCGGGUAUGAAGCGCCGGCUAACUACGUG
rnacentral:rRNA from 1 species